GAUCAAGGCCAUACCACCUUUGCUCUGUCCGAUCCUGUCAGAUCUCGGAAGUUAAGCAGGGUAGGGUCUGGUUGGUACUUGGAUGGGAGACCAUUUGGGAACACCAGAAAGCCUGGGUGA
rnacentral:rRNA from 1 species